CAAGUCGAGCGGACUGAUGGGAGCUUGCUCCCUGAAGUCAGCGGCGGACGGGUGAGUAACACGUGGGUAACCUGCCUGUAAGACUGGGAUAACUCCGGGAAACCGGGGCUAAUACCGGAUAGUUCUUUUCCUCGCAUGAGGAAAAGUGGAAAGGCGGCUUCGGCUGCCACUUACAGAUGGACCCGCGGCGCAUUAGCUAGUUGGUGAGGUAACGGCUCACCAAGGCAACGAUGCGUAGCCGACCUGAGAGGGUGAUCGGCCACACUGGGACUGAGACACGGCCCAGACUCCUACGGGAGGCAGCAGUAGGGAAUCUUCCGCAAUGGACGAAAGUCUGACGGAGCAACGCCGCGUGAGUGAUGAAGGUUUUCGGAUCGUANAGCUCUGUUGUUAGGGAAGAACAAGUGCCGUUCGAAUAGGGCGGCACCUUGACGGUACCUAACCAGAAAGCCACGGCUAACUACGUGCCAGCAGCCGCGGUAAUAC
rnacentral:rRNA from 1 species